rnacentral:rRNA from 1 species
CUACGGGUUGCACCAGUGGGGAAUAUUGGACAAUGGGCGCAAGCCUGAUCCAGCCAUACCGCGUGGGUGAAGAAGGCCUUCGGGUUGUAAAGCCCUUUUGUUGGGAAAGAAAUCCUGUCGGUUAAUAACCGGUGGGGAUGACGGUACCCAAAGAAUAAGCACCGGCUAACUUCGUGCCACGCAGCCGCGGUAAUACGAAGGGUGCAAGCGUUACUCGGAAUUACUGGGCGUAAAGCGUGCGUAGGUGGUGGUUUAAGUCUGCUGUGAAAGCCCUGGGCUCAACCUGGGAAUUGCAGUGGAUACUGGAUCACUAGAGUGUGGUAGAGGGAUGCGGAAUUUCUGGUGUAGCAGUGAAAUGCGUAGAGAUCAGAAGGAACAUCCGUGGCGAAGGCGGCAUCCUGGGCCAACGCUGACACUGAGGCACGAAAGCGUGGGGAGCAAACAGGAUUAGAUACCCCCGUAGUC